rnacentral:sRNA from 1 species
CGGGUGAUGUUCGUUGGCGGCAUGUACGGCACGUCGGCUCUGGAGAACACCCCUUGGGUGCCACCCGGUGUGCGCCGCUCUGCUCACGCGUCAGGCAGAGAGAUGACGCGCCCG